UCCGUCCCUAGAGGCACUGCAGGUGUGGAUGCUAUAUCACAUCUGCAUCCAUAAGUUGCAGAGAUGGGAGAGGCUAGCCUGGCUGUGUUCGGAUCUGAUCUGAGUGAUCAGUAGCCUAACAUC
ensembl:snoRNA LOC120103339 small nucleolar RNA SNORA17